rnacentral:rRNA from 1 species
CAUGGGGUGCAAACGUUGCUCGGAAUCAUUGGGCGUAAAGCGCACGUAGGCGGUUACUUAAGUCGAAUGUGAAAGCCCUCGGCUUAACCGAGGAAGUGCAUCCGAAACUGAGUAGCUAGAGUACGAAAGAGGGUCGCGGAAUUCCCGGUGUAGAGGUGAAAUUCGUAGAUAUCGGGAGGAACACCGGUGGCGAAGGCGGCGACCUGGGUCGAGACUGACGCUGAGGCGCGAAAGCGUGGGGAGCAAACAGGAUUAGAUACCCUGGUAGUCCACGCCGUAAACGAUGGGUGCUAGAUGUUUCUGGUAUUGACCCCGGAGGCGUCGUAGCUAACGCGUUAAGCACCCCGCCUGGGGAGUACGGCCGCAAGGCUA